rnacentral:rRNA from 1 species
CAGGGCUUGACAUCCCCCUGACCGUCCCGUAAUGGGGACUUCUCUUCGGAGCAGGGGAGACAGGUGGUGCAUGGUUGUCGUCAGCUCGUGUCGUGAGAUGUUGGGUUAAGUCCCGCAACGAGCGCAACCCUUGUCAUUAGUUGCCAGCGCGUAGAGGCGGGCACUCUAAUGAGACUGCCGGGGACAACUCGGAGGAAGGUGGGGAUGACGUCAAAUCAUCAUGCCCCUUAUGUUCUGGGCUACACACGUGCUACAAUGGCCGGUACAGAGAGAAGCAAGACCGUGAGGUGGAGCAAAACUCUAAAACCGGUCCCAGUUCGGAUUGUAGGCUGCAACUCGCCUACAUGAAGUUGGAGUUGCUAGUAAUCGCGAAUCAGAAUGUCGCGGUGAAUGCGUUCCC